AGUGGCAGAUGGUUUCAGAAAGCAAGAAGGCUCCUGCAGGAGACCCUGAGGCUGCAGGGGAGAAAAGGUCUCCAGGUAGGUACGGCUGGGAGCGACCUGCCAAGGCAGAGAAGAGGCCAGCCUCCAGGAAAAGCUCUGGGAGUCAGCGCUCUGGUGUGUUGGGACACCCUCAGCAGUGCUGCGCAAUUCCUGAGGUGGCGCCAGCUCGGUGCCCUCAUCCAGCAAAAGGAGCUGUGACGAAGCUGUGACUGCCAGAGGGCUCACUGCCUGGCAGCUGGACCAGAGGAGCCAGGACAAGCUGGAUGCCAUCUGCAAUGGACAGGACAGCAAGUCCUUGGUCCGAUGCAUGGCUUCGCAGACCAUCCUCAUCCUGGAUACUUUCAAGAACCACCUUCCAGCCCGCUCCAGCCUAUGGACGUUGUUCCACAGGAUGACAGUGAUGUGCACUAGGGAGAGCCCGGUCAUUGGAGCUGCCCUAGCUCUAGUUAAAGCCAGCCUCCCUUCUUUGGGGGCUUGGAGCAUGAGAGUCUCCCUGAAGCAGGGUGGAGCACUUCGUGUCAGACAAUGGCUUCUUCCCCAUUGGCCGCCUGCCCUCCCCAGCCAUGGCAGUCUGAUGCCAGGACAGGCCCCCUGAGUGCUGGAGAGGACUAGAGCUGCAUUAGGACACCUGAAGUGCAGCUGCUGGAGAGUCAGCAGCAUCGCCCAGUGACAGCCACACUUGCCUCCCAGUCCGGGAAGCCCAGAGCAUAGACGUCUCUCAGAGCAUCUCUGCUGGCAGGAGACA